AUUAAUUUAAAAGAUCAAUGAAUAUGCAGAUAAAAUAUAUACUAUAUUUAAAAUUCUUAUCAUUCGUUCUGAGAAAACUAUCGUUAGGUCAAUCGAUUAUUUAAAUGGGAGAAUAUAUUGUAAAACGCACAACCAUUUCCGUCAAUGACGUGUUGAAAUACGAAGCGACUGGGCAUGCUCUGAAUUAUACAGUACUGUGUAUCUUUACUGCCUGUGAUUCUGAUAGACGCCAUUCUCUCAGUUUUCCUGAGGUAAAGUCUCUUUUAAAUAAAGUUGCAAUAUUCAUUUUUCAAAUGGAUAUUUCAAUUUAAUAUUUAUUUUCCUUAUUUCUUUAAAUAUAAAUAAUUUUUGUAGCUAAAUUAACUCAAUAAUGGAUGCAAUUCCGUAAUUGUUUCUUUGAUUAAUUUAUUUUGCGAAAAAUACUUUUUGGGAUUUUCAAAAAUAAAUCUUCAGUUUAUGACAUUAUUCGGUUGUGAUUUCUUCCACGCGCUGUUGGGAUAAAUUCUACUGUCGCUUAGCAACCUGGGGGCGCGGUUACGUGUUCCCCUUGGCGAUUGGUGGGUUCGCCCGUACCGGCAAGUCUCCCGCCACUGGCUACCGUAGAGUCGAACAGCGAGAGCAGGAAGUGACGUCACGGGAGAUGGGAAAUCGUGCUUCGUACUGUUUCCCACCUAGAAGGUGCAGGCCUGUUACCAGGUGAGAGUUAUAUGCUCUUAAAUUUGACAUUGCAUUUUCAUGCGCGUAAUAAUCAAGCAGAAUAUGCCAGAUGUGAUGAACUUAGUUAAUAGAACUAAAUCGGAAGGAAUUUUAGAGAGAAGAGAAUUGCAUCAAUACUUACUACGGAUAGACGAACUAAAAGGCGCCAUCCUGCUCCAUUCUUGGACGACAAUCGAUACUCGGGGAUGCAGGAACUAUUCGAUAAUACCUAUUCUGGGGAUUUUCUGUUCUUAUUUGAUCUUCUAGUAAGCCACAAUAAGAUGAAAACAUCGAGACAAUAUAUAGAAACUUUAAUAUAUGUAGAUAAUUUUGCAAAAAUUUAAUAAAACAAAAAAAGACAUUUAAUCACUAUAUUUCCUUUUUUUUUUUUU
rnacentral:lncRNA from 1 species